CCGGCUAGGCACUCCGGAGCCGCUGAGAAACCUCUUCAAAUGUUAGAUAUAACAUCUCCAUUGUGGAUCGUGGACUACAGAUGACUUUUUUGUGUUGAAAGUGUUUUGGAGAAGUUGAUAAAGAGCAUGAUCGCGGAUCAACAAUGCAAGACUGGAUGUAAACAAAGCGCGUCGUCGAGGAGAGAUGGACCGGAUUAUGAGCUCAGCUGCGGUCGCUUGGAUAAAGACUUCAGCUGACACAGGAGGACUGGAAUCUGGAGUGCAUUCAUGAGCGACCAUAUUCAAAAUAGCAAGUAUUUUGUUAUAAUGUGCAAAUGUUUUUUUUCUGAAAUAGUUUUUUCUAUGUGCUUUGGUGGGCAGAGAAGUUCUGAAUUGAUAUACAUAAUGUAAUAUGUAGUCCUGACUCAUUUUCUUUUUAUAAUCAUGUCAUAUUGUUAUCAUGUGUAUAUUUGGAGUUUCCAAGUGCACUUUUUCUGAAAGGACGCCUGGACUUUUUUGAAAUAAAAGCUCACAGAAACAACA